rnacentral:piRNA from 1 species
UAAGGUAUUACUUCUACCCCUCA